rnacentral:siRNA from 1 species
UGGCAGAUGCUUUGUCUCGGG